rnacentral:rRNA from 1 species
UACGGGGGGAGCAAGCGUUGUUCGGAUUUACUGGGCGUAAAGGGCGCGUAGGCGGCCACGUCAAGUCACUUGUGAAAUCUCCGAGCUUAACUCGGAAAGGUCAACUGAUACUGUGCGGCUAGAGUGCGGAAGGGGCAACUGGAAUUCUUGGUGUAGCGGUGAAAUGCGUAGAUAUCAGGAGGAACACCGGUGGCGAAGGCGGGUCUCUGGGCCGAUACUGACGCUGAGGAGCGAAAGCGUGGGGAGCGAACAGG